rnacentral:lncRNA from 1 species
UGGAACAUAAAGGUUCAGAAAAAAAAAAGAAAGAAAAAGAAACGACUGUUAAUCCUUAUUAAUUCUUCUUAUUAUUGUCAUUCCGUAAUAUAACUAUUGUACCAAAAGAUUAAAUCCCAACCCAAAACUUGUUACACAAAAAAUAAACCUCACUAACUAUAUCCAUUCCAUCCUAUCAUCAUUGACCAUGAAGACCAUACUCACCCAAAAAAAACAACUAUUAGAGAGGCUUAAAUCCAAA